rnacentral:rRNA from 1 species
AUGUACAUUCCUACAACAUAGUGUUAAUGCACCAGAUCCCAUUAGAACUCCGCAGUUAAGCGUUCUUAGGCUAGAGUAGUAUUGGGAUGGGUGACCACUGGAGAAGUCCUAGUGUUUUACAUG